rnacentral:rRNA from 1 species
CCUGGCUCAGGACGAACGCUGGCGGCGCGCCUAACACAUGCAAGUCGAACGGUUGACGAAGGAGCUUGCUCCUUCUGAUCAGUGGCGGACGGGUGAGUAACACGUGAGCAACCUGGCUCUAAGAGGGGGGACAACAGUUGGAAACGACUGCUAAUACCGCAUAACAUAUUGAGAUCGCAUGAUUUUGAUAUCAAAGAUUUAUUGCUUUAAGAUGAGCUCGCGUAUGAUUAGCUAGUUGGUGAGGUAACGGCUCACCAAGGCGACGAUCAUUAGCCGGACUGAGAGGUUGAACGGCCACAUUGGGACUGAGACACGGCCCAGACUCCUACGGGAGGCAGCAGUGGGGAAUAUUGCGCAAUGGGGGAAACCCUGACGCAGCAAUGCCGCGUGAAGGAUGAAGGUUUUCGGAUUGUAAACUUCUUUUACUGAGGACGAAAGAAAUGACGGUACUCAGAGAAUAAGCCACGGCUAACUACGUG